rnacentral:rRNA from 1 species
UACGUAGGGGGCAAGCGUUGUCCGGAAUUAUUGGGCGUAAAGAGCGUGUAGGCGGCUUUACAGGUCCGUUGUGAAAACUCGAGGCUCAACCUCGAGACGCCGGUGGAAACCGUAAAGCUAGAGUCCGGAAGAGGAGAGUGGAAUUCCUGGUGUAGCGGUGAAAUGCGCAAAUAUCAGGAGGAACACCAAUAGCGAAGGCAGCUCGCUGGGACGGUACUGACGCUAAGGCGCGAAAGCGUGGGGAGCGAACAGG